GAACUGCAUGGUUCGAAAUUGAAAGGCGGCUUCGGCUGUCACUUAUGGAUGGACCCGCGUCGCAUUAGCUAGUUGGUGAGGUAACGGCUCACCAAGGCAACGAUGCGUAGCCGACCUGAGAGGGUGAUCGGCCACACUGGGACUGAGACACGGCCCAGACUCCUACGGGAGGCAGCAGUAGGGAAUCUUCCGCAAUGGACGAAAGUCUGACGGAGCAACGCCGCGUGAGUGAUGAAGGCUUUCGGGUCGUAAAACUCUGUUGUUAGGGAAGAACAAGUGCUAGUUGAAUAAGCUGGCACCUUGACGGUACCUAACCAGAAAGCCACGGCUAACUACGUGCCAGCAGCCGCGGUAAUACGUAGGUGGCAAGCGUUAUCCGGAAUUAUUGGGCGUAAAGCGCGCGCAGGUGGUUUCUUAAGUCUGAUGUGAAAGCCCACGGCUCAACCGUGGAGGGUCAUUGGAAACUGGGAGACUUGAGUGCAGAAGAGGAAAGUGGAAUUCCAUGUGUAGCGGUGAAAUGCGUAGAGAUAUGGAGGAACACCAGUGGCGAAGGCGACUUUCUGGUCUGUAACUGACACUG
rnacentral:rRNA from 1 species